rnacentral:tRNA from 1 species
UCUUCGUUGGUGCAACGGUAGCACACGCGUUGCUGAUUAAAUUCUCCAGCUAACGAGUAGAAAUUGGACGCGAUAACUGGGUUCGACUCCCAGACGAAGAG